rnacentral:rRNA from 2 species
UGGGGAAUAUUGCACAAUGGGGGAAACCCUGAUGCAGCGACGCCGCGUGAACGAAGAAGGUAUUCGUAUCGUAAAGUUCUGUCCUAUGGGAAGAUAAUGACAGUACCAUAGAAGAAAGCUCCGGCUAAAUACGUGCCAGCAGCCGCGGUAAUACGUAUGGAGCGAGCGUUGUCCGGAAUUAUUGGGCGUAAAGGGUACGCAGGCGGUUUAAUAAGUCGAAUGUUAAAGAUCGGGGCUCAACCCCGUAAAGCAUUGGAAACUGAUAAACUUGAGUAGUGGAGAGGUAAGUGGAAUUCCUAGUGUAGUGGUGAAAUACGUAGAUAUUAGGAGGAAUACCAGUAGCGAAGGCGACUUUCUGGACACAAACUGACGCUGAGGUACGAAAGCGUGGGGAGCAAACAGG